UACAGAGGGGGGGCAAGCGUUUGUUUCGGAAUUACUGGGGCGUAAAAGGGCGCGUAGGCGGCUUUUGCAAAGUGGCGGGUUGAAAAUCCCCUCGGCUUUAACCGAGGAAACUGCCUGCCAGACUGUGAGGCUUGAGACCGGGGAGAGGUGAGUGGAAUUCCCAGUGUAGCGGUGAAAAUGCGUAGAUAUUGGGAGGAACACCAGUGGCGAAGGCGGCUCACUGGACCGGAACUGACGCUGAGGCGCGAAAAGCGUGGGGGAGCAA
rnacentral:rRNA from 1 species